rnacentral:rRNA from 1 species
UACGGGAGGCAGCAGUGGGGAAUAUUGCACAAUGGGCGAAAGCCUGAUGCAGCUAUGCCGCGUGUAUGAAGAAGGCCUUAGGGUUGUAAAGUACUUUCAUCGGGGAGGAAAAAACAAAACUAAUAAUUUUAUUUCUUGACGUUACCCGAAAAAGAAGCACCGGCUAACUCCGUGCCAGCAGCCGCGGUAAUACGGAGGGUGCUAGCGUUAAUCAGAAUUACUGGGCGUAAAGAGCACGUAGGUGGUUUUUUUAAAGUCAGAUGUGAAAUCCCUGGGCUUAACCUAGGAACUGCAUUUUGAAACUGAAAUACUAGAGUAUCGUAGAGGGAGGUAGAAUUCUAGGUGUAGCGGUGAAAUGCGUAGAUAUCUGGAGGAAUACCUGUGGCGAAAGCGGCCUCCUAAACGAAUACUGACACUGAGGUGCGAAAGCGUGGGGAGCAAACGAGGGAUUAGAUACCCGU